UACGUAGGGGGCAAGCGUUGUCCGGAGUUACUGGGCGUAAAGCGCACGCAGGCGGUCUCUUAAGUUUGGAGUGACAGUUGGUGGCUUAACUGCCAAAGUGCUUCGAAAACUGAGAGACUUGAGGGCUUCAGAGGGACACGGAAUCCGGGUGGAGUGGUGAAAUGCGUAGAGAUCCGGAGGAACACCAAAGGCGAAGGCAGUGUCCUGGGGAGUACCUGACGCUCGAGGUGCGAAAGCCAGGGGAGCGAACGGG
rnacentral:rRNA from 1 species